GCCAUGCAUGUCUCAGUGCAGCCGUACGCGCUCGCGCGUCUAGGUGAAACCGCGAAAGGCUCAUUAAAUCAGUUAUGGUUCCUUGGGUCGUACCAAUCAGUUACUUGGAUAACUGUGGUAAUUCUAGAGCUAAUACAUGCCGACAGAGUUCCGACCGCCUCGCCGCGGUAGGAACGCUUUUAUUAGAUCAAAACCCAUCGGGUGUCGCGUACUCUCGUAGUGCGCGCCUCGACAACCCCGGCACGUAGCUCCCCGUUCGCGGGGUACGGCGCGUGCCGAUUCAAUGGUGACUCUGAAUAACUUUGUGCUGAUCGCACGGUCUCAGUGCUGGCGAUGCAUCUUUCAAAUGUCUGCCUUAUCAACUGUCGAUGGUAGGUUAUGCGCCUACCAUGGUGGUAACGGGUGACGGGGGAUUAGGGUUCGAUCCCGGAGAGGGAGCCUGAGAAACGGCUACCACAUCCAAGGAAGGCAGCAGGCACGCAAAUUACCCACUCCCAGCCCAGGGGAGGUAGUGACGAAAUAUAACGAUACGGGACUCAUCCGAGGCCUCGUAAUCGGAAUGAGUACACUUUAAAACGUAUAACGAGGAUCCAUUGGAGGGC
rnacentral:rRNA from 1 species